CCGCCAGACUCCUACGGGAGGCAGCAGUGAGGAAUAUUGGUCAAUGGCCGGAAGGCUGAACCAGCCAAGCCGCGUGAAGGACGAAGGUGCCAAGCAUUUUAAACUUCUUUUGUCAAGGGACAAAAUCAGGCUCGAGAGCCUGACCGAGGGUACUUGAAGAAAAAGCAUCGGCUAACUCCGUGCCAGCAGCCGCGGUAAUACGGAGGAUGCGAGCGUUAUCCGGAUUUAUUGGGUUUAAAGGGUGCGUAGGCGGACUGUUAAGUCAGCGGUAAAAUUGCGGGGCUCAACCUCGUCGAGCCGUUGAAACUGGGUGCCUUGAGUGGGCGAGAAGUACGCGGAAUGCGUGGUGUGGCGGUGAAAUGCAUAGAUAUCGCGCAGAACUCCGAUUGCGAAGGCAGCGUACCGGCGCCGGACUGACGCUGAGGCACGAAAGCGUGGGUAUCGAACAGGAUUAGAUACCCCCGUA
rnacentral:rRNA from 1 species